AUUGAACGCUGGCGGCAUGCUAUACACAUGCAAGUCGAACGGUAACAGGCCGCAAGGUGCUGACGAGUGGCGAACGGGUGAGUAAUGCAUCGGAACGUGCCCAGUCGUGGGGGAUAACUGCUCGAAAGAGCAGCUAAUACCGCAUACGAUCUAAGGAUGAAAGCGGGGGAUCGCAAGACCUCGCGCGAUUGGAGCGGCCGAUAUCCGAUUAGGUAGUUGGUGGGGUAAAGGCUCACCAAGCCGACGAUCUGUAGCUGGUCUGAGAGGACGACCAGCCACACUGGGACUGAGACACGGCCCAGACUCCUACGGGAGGCAGCAGUGGGGAAUUUUGGACAAUGGGCGCAAGCCUGGUCCAGCCAUGCCGCGUGCAGGAUGAAGGCCUUCGGGUUGUAAACUGCUUUUGUACGGAACGAAAAGGUUUGGCCUAAUACGCUGAACUCAUGACGGUACCGUAAGAAUAAGCACCGGCUAACUACGUGCCAGCCGCCGCAGUAAAAC
rnacentral:rRNA from 1 species